AUGGCGCCCUCCCUGGGCGGGUGGGGUCCGAGAGGAGGCGGAGGGGCACCUGUGUGGGGCCGAGGGCCGCCUGGGCCGAGAGGGUCAGUGGGUGCGAGGGGGAGGAAGCGAGCGACGUCCUGGAGCCGGAGGGGGUGAAUCCCAGUGAGUUCUGGAGGUGAGAAGUCCAAGAUCAAGAGUCAGCAGAGGUGGUUUCUUCUAAGGAGCCUGAGGGAAGAAUCUGUUCCAGGCCUCUCUCCUUGACUUGGAGAUACUGAUUGAAUACGUUCUAUAUGUAAAUCACUUUCCUAGGUAUUGAAAUUACAGCUGUGAAAAAAAACGUGAAUUGAUGGAAGCUUACAUUCUUGUGGGGAUAAAGAUAACGCCUAAGUAAAAUGUAUCCUAUACUAUAUAGUUAUAAAUGUGAAGGAGAAAAAAAUCAACCAAGGAAGGAAGAAUUAAAUUUAAGGUUUUGUGGGGAAGGGUCUAUAAUUUUAAAUCAGGUGGUCAGCAAAGCCUCUGAGUAAAAAAGACAUAGUGAGGGAGAAUUUCAGGCAGAGGAAAUUGUGCAAAAGCCCCAAGGUGGAAACAUGCUUGGUGAGUUCAAGGAACAGUGAGGACGAACCGGCUGAACUAGGGGGAGAGCAUUAGGAGAUAAGAGCCUUUGGAAUCACAGUAAGAACUAUCACACUUAUUUAGAGGUUGGAAAUCCUAACAGAGUUUUGAGCAGGGACAUGGUGUUGUGUAUCAUUUAUUUAUUUAUUUUUUCUUAGAGAGAGAGAGAGAG